rnacentral:lncRNA from 1 species
CACGUACGGGCCCCGCCCCUCGCGCGACGUGUUUUGUUGACCGGGAAACGGGUUCUCCGGAGCCAAGGUCCGCUCGGGCCCUACGUCUCCGCAAACCCCACGCUUCGGGGUGGCCGCCUCAGACAGGACCCUGAGUCCGAGACUGGGGUAGGGGACCUGCCCGAUCCUGUAACAACCCUCGUGCUUCUGCGCAAUCGCCUCCCACUAGCGGUGAGUGUUGGGUGUUUACCUUCCCG